GAUGAACGCUGACAGAAUGCUUAACACAUGCAAGUCGAUGGGGAAGUGGUGCUUGCACCAUGGCAACCAUGGCGGACGGGUGAGUAACGCGUAAGGGACUUACCUGCAGGACUGGGAUAACAGGGGGAAACUCCUGACAAGACCGGAUAAUGUCAUGGAGCUGCAUGGCUUUAUGAUGAAAGGAGACGCCUGCGGAGAGCCUUGCGUCCUAUUAGCUAGUUGGUGAGGUAAUGGCGCAACAAGGCGAAGAUAGGUAGCCGGCCGGAGGGGGGGGACGGCCACAAGGGGACUGAUAUACGGCCCAUACUCCUAGGGGAGGCAGCAGUGGGGAAUAGUGGACAAUGGGGGCAACCCUGAUCCAGCCAUUCUGUGUGGACGAAGAAGGUUUUCGGAUUGUAAAGUGCUUUCAGCAGGGAAGAAGUAAGUGACGGUACCUGCAGAAGAAGCGACGGCUAAAUACGUG
rnacentral:rRNA from 1 species